ACGAGGUGUAGCAAUACACCGAGUUGCGAACGGCUGAGUAAUGGAUAGGAAUCUCCCCAAUGGUGUGGAAUACCUCAUCGAAAGAUGAGCUAAUACCGCAUGACCCGGGCAACCGGAAAAGCGCUUUACCGCGCGCCGAUGGAUGAGCCUAUCUCCCAUCAGGUAGUUGGUAGGGUAAUGGCCUACCAAGCCUAUGACGGGUACCCGCCCUGAGAGGGGAAACGGGCAGAAUGGGACUGAGACACGGCCCAUACACCUACGGGUGGCAGCAACAGGGAAUCGUACGCAAUGGACGAAAGUCUGACGUCGCAAUGCCGCGUGGGGGAUGAAGGCCUUCGGGUCGUAAACUCCUUUUGCCAUAGCUGAGAGGCUAUGGAGAAUAAGUAACUGCUAACUCUGUGCCAGCAGCCGCGGUAAUACAGAGGUUACAAGCGUUAUCCGGAUUUAUUGGGCGUAAAGCGUUUCGUAGGCGGAUUUUUAAGUUACUCUUCAAAGACUACGGCUUAACCGGAGGAAGGGGGGUAAUACUGGAAGUCUUGAAAUAUAGUGGGGUAUCUGGAACUGAUGGUGUAGUAGUGAAAUACGUUGAUAUCAUCAGGAACUCCGAGGGCGAAGGCAGGAUACUAACUAUUUUUUGACGCUGAGGAACGACAGCUAGGGGAGCGAAAGGGAUUAGAGACCCCUGUAGUCCUAGCCGUAAACUUUGCUCGCUAGGGAUUUGGAGUUUACUCCAAGUUCCGUAAGCU
rnacentral:rRNA from 1 species